ensembl:lncRNA
GGCAGGCCCAGGGGAGGGAGAGUGAGGAGGGUGAGGCUGAAUUUGGCCGACGCAAAGGGGUCUGGAGAGAACAGACAGUUCAUGGGCACUUCCUCCUAGGCUGAGGAGAGACACCUCCAGGAGAAUACCAGGAAAAUGAGAAAGCAGAUGUCUGUGUCUUUCUCAAGGUGAGGGGUGAAAUUCCUGGCCUGCUGUGUUAGAGACCAAAUCGGAGGGCAUGAAGAUGCAGAUGCCACUCCCAGGCUCCUGGAUUCCUUUGGAACCUUCUCCACUUUCUCUCUCCACCCUCACAGCCUGGACUCAGAGGAGAUCCACCCAGACCUUUCCUCCAGUCUGAAGCUCACCUCCUGGACAGCAGCUGCCAGCCUGGCAUCUUCCACCUUUAUUGUUCUCCCUCCUUGGGCCGCUCAAUUGAAGGAAGAUAGGACCAGGAUGGGUCGAAGCAUUGCUUUGCUCCUAACUUGCUUUCUGCUCUCAAACCCAAACUUGCUUUCCUCCAGGCCCUAUUCACUUCCCUGUCUUAGACCUUAGGGAAACCUACCCUCUUUGUCAAUUUAGGGUUGCAUUGCUGGCUGAAAGUUUGGGAAGUCACGUUAAACAUUCCUCUCUGGUUCUGCAGGGAUCCACAGGAAGGUGGGGGAUUAGGCUGCCAUCUCCAAUCUUUUCCUGGAUUCUCCUCCAGCCUGCCCUCAAUCACAGACCCUGCUUGUUGUGCUCUGUGGUUGAGUGGGGGGGAUCAGGUAGCCACUUCCCUGGGGAAGUCUCAGGAAGCCUCCUCCAGUGGGCUCCAGGAUUCCUGCCUCAGCCCUCUUUCUUCCACUGCUUCGCAUCCUGGCCCUCUCAGCCCUGCCAGGCGCCUCACAGAAACCCUUUCCAACCCUCCUCAACCUCUCCUUCCUCAGCCCCACCCCUUUUCUAUCUUCAUUCUUCCUAUUCCCUUUUUCUUUUUCAGCAGCAUCUCUGCCAGUCAUUUGCCC